rnacentral:lncRNA from 1 species
CACCUCACACCUGCCCACUCUGUCCACGCCGCUUCCAGGACGCCGCGGAGCUGGCGCAACACGUGCGCCUGCACUAAGUUCAGCCCUGCUCUCUCUGGGCCACCACGUUCGUCCCACACAGUGUCAUUCCUACACAUAUCCCAGUUCUGCUGAGGUUACUGCCUUACCCUAGGCCUCAGUUUCCCCACCAACCCCCAAAGAGAAACAUCAUUUCGUCUUUUCUUCUGUCUAGCUGUGUGAUGUAGACCAAAGUUGUUGCCCCUCUGGGCCUGGGUGUCAAUUGGAACUGGGCUUCAGUCCAGCCGUGCUGUGUAAGCCUUUGCAAAUGCUACGACCUCUCCUGAGUCUUGGUCGUCUACUCUUCCCAAGUAGUAAGGUCCUCGUGGAAGAAAUGACAAAAGCACCAGCACGGUCUGGAUCACCUCUGUACUUCCCUCUAAUGCCCAUGAUCCCUCGUUCUUUGCCCAAUAAACAUUCCGCACUUCA